AUUGAACGCUGGCGGCAGGCCUAACACAUGCAAGUCGAACGAGUGGCGGACGGGUGAGUAAUGUCUGGGAAACUGCCUGAUGGAGGGGGAUAACUACUGGAAACGGUAGCUAAUACCGCAUACCAUCAGAUGUGCCCAGCUGGGAUGGGCUUGUUGGUGGGGUAACGGCUCACCAGGGCGACGCUCCCUAGCUGGUCUGAGAGUUAGACCGGCCACACUGGAACUGGGACACGGUCCAGACUCCUACGGGAGGCAGAAGUGGGGAAUAUUGCACAAUGGGCGCAAGCCUGAUGCAGCCAGGCCGCGUGGAUGAAGAGGGCCUUCGGGUUGUAAAGUACUUUCAGCGGGGAGGCGUUACCCGCAGAAGAAGCACCGGCUAACUCCGUGCCAGCAGCCGCGGUAAUUC
rnacentral:rRNA from 1 species